GACGAACGCUGGCGGCGUGCUUAACACAUGCCAGUCGAACGGAAAGGCCUCUUUCGGGGGGUACUCGAGUGGCGAACGGGUGAGUAACACGUGAGUAACCUGCCCUUGACUUUAGGAUAACUUCAGGAAACUGGGGCUAAUACCGGAUAGGAGCUCCUGCUGCAUGGUGGGGGUUGGAAAGUUUCGGCGGUUGGGGAUGGACUCGCGGCUUAUCAGCUUGUUGGUGGGGUAGUGGCUUACCAAGGCUUUGACGGGUAGCCGGCCUGAGAGGGUGACCGGCCACAUUGGGACUGAGAUACGGCCCAGACUCCUACGGGAGGCAGCAGUGGGGAAUAUUGCACAAUGGGUGGAAGCCUGAUGCAGCAACGCCGUGUGCGGGAUGACGGCCUUCGGGUUGUAAACCGCUUUCGCUCAUGACGAAGCUUUGUGUGACGGUAGUGGGUAAAGAAGCACCGGCUAACUACGUG
rnacentral:rRNA from 1 species